rnacentral:lncRNA from 1 species
GACUGCGGUGCGUGGACCUGCUGGGUGAUGCCGAGAGCACUGCCAGGGCAUGGGGCAUCCAACGCCGAGCAGAGAACAGCACCAGGAGAGCUGCCCUCAGGUGGUUGGUGGAGAACCUCCUGGGCAAGGGAUCCUGUGCUGGAUUCCCUGUGGCAAAGGUCUCCCAACCCUCCCGUACCCCCGGCUGGGUGACAGGUGGGACAAGAGGGUGGCUCCUCACUGCUCUGUGAAUAAGGCCCUUCACUUCCAUCGCUUUGUUCUCAUGCGUAUGGGUGCAGCAGAAGGAAAGCAUUUUAUUUUCACUACCCGCAGCAGCUUAAUGGGUUCUGAACAGAACCUGAAGUGUGCAUGGAUUUAGCAGGGAAAAAAAAAGAAAAAAAGAAGAAUAAAAGAAAAAAAAAGAAAAAAGCAAGCUAUAUUUCUUCUUGGUUGGGACCCAAAUCUCUUUCUUCUCUUCUCCCACUACCACUUCUCCCAUUUGCUCCCACUGUAAGUUCGGAAGAGUGGUAAGUGAUGGGAGCGCCUUGUGUGUGCGGUGCUAAUGCUGGCUGCCGCACCGCGACCCCCCCGACCCCCCCGGAGCUCCCCAGCUCCCAGCACGGCUCCAGCCCGUCCUCCGCCGCCGUUUCUCCCGCUGUCACUGGAGGGAGCUGCCUCUCCUCCAUCCGGCCCCGAGCUGCGGAGCGCGCCGGGGGGUGGAAGCAGGCGGGGGGGGGGCGGUCACGGAAAGCCGUGGAUGCGGUCACGCGCGUGUGUGGCACGAGGGGAUGUGCUGACGAGCUGUGGCUGAAUCCGCACGAGAGCAACGUUUAUCUGAACGCUGCAGGACGGGGUACACGUUGGGCAUCGUCGGGACGGGACGCACCUCGAGCCAUGGGUGCAGGAUACCUGUAG